rnacentral:rRNA from 1 species
CAGUAGCGUAUAUUUAAGUUGUUGCAGUUAAAAAGCUCGUAGUUGGAUUUCGGGUGGGACGCAGCGGUCUCGCAUUGCGUUUGUACUGCUGCAGCCCUCCUUCUUGCCGGGGGCGGCCUCUCGGACUUCACUGUCUGGGGGUCAGAAUCGGCGAUGUUACUUUGAGUAAAUUAGAGUGUUCAAAGCAAGCUUACGCUCUGAAUAUAAUAGCAUGGGAUAACACGACAGGACUCUGGCCUAUCGUGUUGGUCUAUAGGACCAGAGUAAUGAUUAAGAGGGACAGUCGGGGGCAUUCGUAUUCCGUUGUCAGAGGUGAAAUUCUUGGAUUUACGGAAGACGAACAUCUGCGAAAGCAUUUGCCAAGGAUGUUUNCAUUGA